CAAACGGGUGAGUAACACGUGGGUAAUCUACCCUGGAGUGGGGAAUAACGGACCGAAAGGUUCGCUAAUACCGCAUAUGAUCGUGAGAUCAAAGGGACCGAAAGGUUUCGCUCUGGGAGGAGCCUGCGGCCGAUCAGGUAGUUGGUGAGGUAACGGCUCACCAAGCCUCCGACCGGUAGCUGAUCUGAGAGGAUGACCAGCCACACUGGCACUGAGACACGGGCCAG
rnacentral:rRNA from 1 species